rnacentral:antisense_RNA from 1 species
CUUCAGGGAGCCGAGCCACAGCGGCCGGCCCUCGGGGCGGUCCUGGCCGUACGUGGCCAGCAGUGCCUGGGCCUC